ACGGGAGGCAGCAGUGGGGAAUAUUGCACAAUGGGGGAAACCCUGAUGCAGCGACGCCGCGUGAAGGAAGAAGUAUCUCGGUAUGUAAACUUCUAUCAGCAGGGAAGAUAAUGACGGUACCUGACUAAGAAGCCCCGGCUAACUACGUGCCAGCAGCCGCGGUAAUACGUAGGUGGCAAGCGUUGUUCGGAAUCACUGGGCGUAAAGGGAGCGCAGGCGGAGAUGCAAGCAGUCUGUACAAUACCGGGGCCCAACCCCGGACCUGCAGACUGGACUGUUUCUCUUGGAUAGUUCAGGGGCAAGCGGAAUUCCUGGUGUAGCGGUGGGAUGCGUAGAGAUCAGGAAGAACACCGAUGGCGAAGGCAGCUUGCUGGGGACUUAUCGACGCUCAUGCUCGAAAGUGCGGGUAGCAAACAGGAUUAGAUACCCUGGUA
rnacentral:rRNA from 1 species